rnacentral:lncRNA from 1 species
CCCAAGGUCCCCGAGUGGGUGGGACCCCUGCCCGGGCUGCUCGCCAUGGCGGGGGCUGGGCCUCAGGCGUCCCCGCUCCCGUCCUUACAGGGCCCUCAGUGCUGGCCUUCCAUGUCUGGGGACCCCUGCCACCCCUUUUCCUCCUGUGCCACCCUGCUCAGCUUCGGCCCCAGCCCUGCGAGAGGCUUCCGGUGUCCCAUGGGUGCUCCCCCCAGGGCCCCGCUGUUCCGUCAGGAUGACGGCUUUGGAGGUGCCUUGUGAUCUCCCGUCCCCCCCCAGUCCUCGGGACUUUGCCCACCUCACCCCACCCCAGGGGUUCCUCCCUCAGAGGCCAGUUUGGUCCAGGAGAAGGGCCCUCCUUGCUUUGAUGCUGGGGAGACCCCAGCCAUGGAGGGAGCUGAGACCCUGUGGUUUAGAGGGACCCUGGCCACCCAGCCUCGGCCACAGAGCUGGGCCCAUGAUCUCCUUGGUGUUCCUGGAACCUCACCCCGAAUCUGACUUGCUUGGUAGGAUUUGCUCGGAUCCAGGGCCCGGCCUUCCUGAUGCCCUGAUGUCCCCGGCCUAGGCUGCAUCAGCAAUAGAGGCGGCUGAAGCCAGGGUGGUGUCCAGCAGCGGCAGCACGGGGCUGGGAGAUGAGUCUGCAGACCUCAGGGGAGCCCUGGCCUCAACAGGGUGGGCACAGAAGUCUUGGUUGAUUAGUGACUUGCCAUAGGGCGUGGGUCACUGAGUGGAAUCUGCUGUGUGUAUAUUAGAUGGGCUUAAAAGCAAGAUUGUGGGUCCGGGGAUUUAGCUCAGUGGUUCUGGUGCCUGCCUCGAAAGCGCAAGGUCCUGAGUUCGAUCCCUGGUACCAGAAAAAAAAAAAAAGUAUGUAAAUGCAAACAAGACUGAGGCAAAAAAAUAAAGACUGAGGCACAGAAUGUCACCCCCACCCCGUGAGGCCAGGGCCAAGGUGAUUAAAAUCUGCAGUCACACACAGGCUGUGUGGCCUUCAGCAGGUUAUUAACCUCUCUGAUCCUCACUUCUUGUGUCAGCAGGAGCCUCUGGCUCCCAGGACAAGAGGAAAGGACAGCUGUAGGGCCCUGGAUGUGGCCAGGGGUAGGAAGACCUGGUCAGGAGUGGAGCUCGGGCUUUCCCACCCCUCCUCCCGCCCACCCCUUCCUUCCAUCACUGUGUCCUUCGAGCCUUCACGCUGUCUGUCCUCCUGGGAAUCUCUGACUGUGCUUUUCCCAGCUGUGUGUGGAGCCUGGGAGGUCAGUUAGGAGGCCACUGGCGUCAUCCAGCUGGGACGUGACCAGCGCAGUGGUGGCUGUGGAGGCCAAAGGUGGAGUCCGCAGAAUUUUCCUGAGGUCUGGAGCAUAACACAGUCUCGGUGACCCCAUAGAUCUUGGCCUAAUGUAUAUGUUUUCAGGAGCUGCUGUAACAAAUUGACAUAGCUGGAUUUAGAGCAAGAGACAUUUGUAUUUUUUUUCCAGAUAGGGUCUCAUAUGUAGCCCAGGCUGCCCUCAAACUCACAUUGAUCCUCUGCCCCAGCCUCGGGAGUGCUGGAAUUGCAGGCGUGCGCCACUACAUCUGGCUGUCAAGAAAUUCGUUCUUAUUCUUUUUGUUGUUUUGCUUUGAGACAGGGUCUCCAUAGGUUGCCUAGGUGGGCCUUGAACUCCUAGGAUCACUUGGCCCCGGGAGUUUGAGACCGGCCUGGGUAACAUAACAAGACCCUGUCUCAAUGAGAAGUCCUGGCUCUCAGGCCCUGCCCAGGUUUCUGUCCCACAGGAGGGGGUGAGGAGACAGGGAGUGGGAGAGAAGGCAGAUGGAGCAGUGUGUGCAGGUCACUGUGCUGUUCUCAGAACUUUUGGUAGGUUCAAAAUAUUGCAAAGUUAAACUGGGGAGAAAUAAAGAGAACGGCAGGUGAGAACUGGAGGUGCGAGUGCAGGUAUCUGUUGUGUGGAAGGAAGGCGGAAUGAUAUGGGUGUGGGGAAGGGCAGGGUGAGGCCUGGAUUCAAUGUGGACAGGGGAAGGAUGGCACACCUUGUGCUGAUCCAGCGGUGUCUCUGCACCUGGCCAGAGUGGAUCUGGAUGCAAGGGCAGGCGCAGGUGCAGCGGGGCUGAUCUCGGGAGGCUGACCUCAGGUAGGCGCUUAUGGGCCUCCUUUUCUUUUCCUUUUGUGUUUGUUUGUUUGUUUGUUUUUGAGACAAAGUCUCACUAUAUAGCCCAGGCUGCCUUGAAUUUAUGACAGUCCUCCUGCCUGAGCCUCCCAUGUGUGGGGAUUACGCGCAUACUCCACCACACUCAGCUCCCUUUUAUUCUGAGGCAGGGUCUCACUACAUUGCCCAGGCUGGCCUUAAACUUGCAUUCCUCGUGCCUCAGCCUCUCAAGUAGCUGGAUCGCAGGUCUGUGCUAUCACAUCUGGCUAUGGCCCCCUUCUGAUGGCUGCUGUUUCCCUGGAAAAGUAGGAAGCCGACUGGCAGCGACAGGACCGAGCCCCUGGAGGUUGGAGCUGUCAUUCUGUGCUGCAUCUACAGGGCUCCCGGGCAGGCUCAGAGUGAGGGCCAUGGGCCUGGGCACAGGGCUGCUGGCCCCGC